rnacentral:snRNA from 1 species
CUUGCUUCUGCAAAAAAAAUAUACUGAAAUUGGAAUAAUAAAAAGAAAAUUAGCAUAGCCCCUGUGCAAGGAUAACACUCAAAUUCAUGAAGCAUUCUGUAUUUUU